rnacentral:lncRNA from 1 species
CUAGUGGCAGGCUUGCAGCAUGCGUGCUCUGUGCUGACUUGGUUGUCAGCCUUGUGAGUCAUUUGCCUCCAGCGAAACAAGAACCAAAACAGACGCUCCUUCAGGCAAAAACAAAAGCCAGGUUAAUAAAACGAUCAUGGUGACAAUCAUCAGUUUCCAGAUAUAAAAUGGACUAGCAUUGUGACAGCAGGUUCAUUUUUUUUGAAAGGUGUGCAAAUAUCAGCCAGACAUGAAUAAAAUUGUGGGAGAGAGAGAGAGAGAGAGAGAGAGAGGAAAGGGAGAGCUGGUUAAUUAAUUUAUAUACCACGCUGAAAUUAUACAAUUCAUGUAGGACUGGGAGGUCAUGGGAAUCAAAGGCAAAAUUGCACCAAUAAGAACAUCUAGAGAAAUUUUGGGAUGUUGUGGUCCUCUAGAAACAUCACUGACAGAGCAGCCACUGACCAAUUGAAAAACUGAAUGGCGGCAGGCCUUCCCACACAGCUAAUUCAUGCUCCACAGCCUCUGGUGAAGCGUCAUGUAGGCCAAAGAAUUUCUUGUGCACCCGUUGCAAGCAAAUGUCAUGUGCUAUACUCCUGUGAUAAUUAUUUUUCGAGAAACAUAUGACAAAGGGUAAUGAAUUAAAAAUAUAUUUUUUUUUUGUUAUGAAUGGGUCAAUCGGAGGACCUGACAGACUAAUGACAUGCCCAAUAAGAUAGGUUGCCUAGAAUAGAACUGGAUCAUCUCUUUGUAUUUGAGCUUUAGUAGUGAAAACCAAAGUUUGCUGCGUGUUUCUUUCAAAUAGUUGCCAGCCGAAGACAGACCUGACACCCAAAGGCAGUAACAAAGAAACAGGCUUUAGUUCAUCGUCCUCGUGCACACAGACGUUUGCUAUAAUAAUUGAAAUAAAGUAUGGUACAUAUAAAUUGCAGGUGUCCUUAUUGGAUUUAAAAAGGAAAUGGAACAGCACAAGCGGAAGUAUGUGCGGAUUUGCUGCUUCGAUCAUGAAGACACACAGCACCCAACAUAAGGCAGAGUUAGAAAUGGGAGGCAUGAGGAAUCACACCUAUUGUAGCAUAUGGUUUCUAUUAUGCAUCAUUUGAUUAUUCACGCACCAGAAAGACAGCUGUCACCACCACCAGCCUGUGCUUGGCUAAUACUGUUAAUAGGACACCAGUAGAUAAGCACUCUGUUCUAACAUGCCACGGUGCUGCCGUCCAGAUAGGUUGACUUACUCUACAUGCCUCUGCAUGCUUUGCAUCCUUGGAGACGGCUACAGUUUGCUAUCAAACAACACCAGUGCGAAACAAGUCCAUCAUAGGCUCUAUGGUGUCGCCUUCACUAAAACCAAAUGAAACAAUAUAUUUGGAUAUGUCGAGUACUGAAGCUAAUUAUUCUUGUCUAAGAUCUCCCUUGAUUCUUGUUAUCAGCAAAAUUUGAAACUAUUAUGAACUCUGCAGGAAAUAUUUCUUAAAGCCUUCAAAAUUUGGAACUAUUAUGAACUCUGCAGCAAAAAUUUCAUAUCAUGAGUGAUAAAUUAAUGUGGUGCCAUGUCAGUAAAAUAAUAUACCAGCAAACUAUAAAUUGGUUCAAGAGAAAUUUGAAAUAAUAAUGAAAUUGUUAACCAUACUGAAAGCAAAUAGUUAUGUCACUAUGCAUCAACGGGAUGAGUACACUAUUUU